UACGUAGGGGUCGAGCGUUGUCCGGACUUACUGGGCGUAAAGCGUGGGUAGGUGGUCGGUGAUGUGCCGUGUGAAAGCGCCGCGCUUCUCGCGGCGAGGUCGCGGUAGACACACCGACUGGAGGCACGGAGGGGGGCGUAGAAUUCCCGGUGUAGUGGUGAAAUGCGCAGAUAUCAGGAGGAACACCAGCGGCGAAGGCGGCGCUCUGGGCCGGUACUGACACUGAGGAGCGAAAGCGUGGGUAGCAAACAGG
rnacentral:rRNA from 1 species